AGUCCUGAUUAGAACUAGCCUCCCUAUUACGUUGAUUAUUUUCGUUGUUAGUAACCACUUCUCUAUAUCCUCCUCUAUUUCCCUAUUGUCCAUUUAUAUUCCAACUAAUAAGAACACCAUUAGUGGGUUGUGAAAAAUGAGUGCUCUCUGUAGAAAGGACACGUGUAAAGUAUUAUGAAGAGAGGAAAUCUCAGAACCAGAGAGAAAAUCUCAGAACCAGAGAGAAUCUGAGAUUUAACAGUCUCAUAUUCUGAAGGAAAGCCUGCAAGAAAACUCAUAACAG
rnacentral:misc_RNA from 1 species